CAUUUGCAUGUCACGUGAAGUCAUGAUGGUCUUAAAUGUCACCUAUACUUAGGCGUACUGUAACCGGGUCUGCACCCGCCGUUCCGCUGUACUGCGCCUGUUGAGCUGACCUAGAUACCACGCGAUCAGUCAGCUUAGCCUGUCAGGACCUUACAAAUGAACACCUUGAUGGCAUAAAAGCUUCCAUACCUCUCUACCUAUCCGUACCCCUGGCACUAGCGUUGAGUAUCAAAUACAUCAUUCUAAAGGAUAACACCGGAAGAUGAGCUAAAACUACUCAAAAACAGUUGGUGCCUGUCCUUCAUCCAUAUAACUCUACACAGUAGUCAUGGUAACCUUGUAAGAAAAAUGUUGGAUAGCUCAAAAACAAAAGCCUCACCUGACAACCACUGAGAAGGCCUUCUUAUGCAAGGUUAUCACGGAUUGGUCGAUUGGAAUAAUCUACAGCACAGACCCACCCACCCAGGGUGACAAUUCAGGUGACAUUUAUUAGAGACGGGCGUUACCAGAGGGAGACAUUGGACACGACCAGGCUGUGGCAUUUAUUAUCAACGCUCUCACACCAGACGGGGUUACGAACCCCACACUAACGCAUCGAGCUGGGAUAAGCUGGUAACAAACUACAGAAUAUCAGAGGAAGCCAUUUGCUCGACAAAAGAGUUCUGCACGAGGCAAGCAGCACCCAGUGAACUGCUGAUUUAUUGUUUCAUGUGAGUUAGGAAGUGGAACACCUGAGAGCUUCACGCCAACUACAGUGAUCCUGUCAACACGUCCCAAGUUCUUUAUUUUCUUCAGUGCGAAACAUAGAAGCAAAAAGCAUUACAACAAAGAUGAAAAUCUAAGAAAAUAUACCAGAAAAAAAUGGAGCCGCGCAUUCUUGAAGGAAUUUUUUGUCGUCGUGACCGUAUCCUUAGGUUUGUAAAAAACACCAGCGAUGGCAAGAGCGAAGAAGCUGUUUGUUGCCGUAACCGUUAUUAGUUCGGUUGUCAUCCUCCUUCUAGUGACUCAUCGCAGUUUCAGUUGGAUCCUGAAUAAUCUGUGGUCCACAUGCGAAAUGCUAACAACUUGAUUUCAGCCUCUUCGUACUCCAGAGAACAUAGACAUCAAGCUUUCUGAACUCAUGGAAAGAUGUCUUCAACAAAGGGAGACAACAUUGAGCGAAGGGUUACACAAGGCACGGCAAUGUCUCAAGGAAGCCGCAGGGGACAUAACUCUGAUGAAACUCGAGCGACUACUCACUCACAGUGAUCCAGACUUCAAUCAAACCAAGGCCCUGUACCCUCUGAGUACGGAGCGAGAGACUGCGAGACGGAGAGUAGAGUCAACGGCGAGAGAGGUCUUCUACUUCAUCACUGCCAAGAUGGACGCACUCAAGAGUGGAUCUUUUAAGGUUGAUGGAAACACGACGCAGUUUAUAAGCAACACACAGAGAGAACUUGAAGAAUAUAAACAAUUUGAGAUCUACACACGGCAGUGUCGACUUCACACUGAUUACCUCCCUUCUGAUGCUUCACAAAGUUUUGAUGUCGAGCUGUCACAACAAGGUUUUCGAGCAAUACAAGCCAGUCUGACAUGACUGACAUCAGGCCAGUGUGUCUAUUCUUCCAUUGUCAUCCUUUUAUCAUCACUGGUCAGUGCAGUCAUAUAUACGACCUACUCGGCUGUAAUGCUGUCCGUUACAAGUGCACAAACUAAAUAACCACUCACAUCUCCUGGUCGACUGUAUAAAACUAAUUUGAUUUGUUUUUCACACUUACCACUACAUUGCCUCUGAAUCCUGUUGUUACUUUGUAUAUCCCACCCCCAUCCUCAAUGAAGUCGUAGUGAUCAUAAGGGAAAAAUAUCUUUGUCGUUCAAGUGCGUUGUCCAGUGACCUUCACCGGCUGCGUCACGUGGACAAAGACGAGGAAUGGCGAGACAACGAGUCCAGGCGACUUGGGGAACUCGUGCAGCGACAUCUCCAUGAUUUGCAGCUCAAGUUGAGGAAAGAUGCGGGCUACAAACGAGGCUUUCAAAGGAUACGAUGAUUGCACGCGGGAAGAUUGACGGGUUAUAGGCUUUUCUAAGGGAGUGACAAAGCCAAUCAAGUCUGUGAUUGGAUUCUUACCUGCAGAUCGUACAAACGUCGCUGAACCAGUUGCCCGAGUUGUCUGGACAUUGUCACCCGCCAUUCCUCGUCCUCGUCCACGUGACGCAGUAGGUGAAGGUCAUUGAGCAGCGCCCUAGAACCGGAGAAGCUGUGUGGCAGACUCAAUCCGAAGAAAAGUUUCCGUGGCUGAGUGCGUCCAUCUUGGCAGUGAUGAGUAGAAGACCUCUCUCGC
rnacentral:misc_RNA from 1 species